rnacentral:sRNA from 1 species
UCCUAGCCCUGAUUGCAGCAGAAAUCCUUUUUUGAAGAAAAAGAUUGCAGCGGAAAGCAGGAAAAAGC